ensembl:snoRNA
GAUCGGUGUUGAAAGUAGACAACUCUGAGCAUCAGGAGACCUUCUAGUUCACCUGACUCAUGAUCCCUGUAGUGCUGAAA